rnacentral:rRNA from 1 species
CUUGCAAACUAAAGAUGGCGACCGACGCACGGGUGAGUAACACGUAUCCAACCUGCCGAUAACUCGGGGAUAGCCUUUCGAAAGAAAGAUUAAUAUCCGAUAGUAUAUUAAAACCGCAUGGUUUUACUAUUAAAGAAUUUCGGUUAUCGAUGGGGAUGCGUUCCAUUAGUUUGUUGGCGGGGUAACGGCCCACCAAGACUACGAUGGAUAGGGGUUCUGAGAGGAAGGUCCCCCACAUUGGAACUGAGACACGGUCCAA